rnacentral:misc_RNA from 1 species
GAAAAAGAUCAAUAUAGAACUAGUAUUACGCCUACCCUUUCAUAUUAUUUCAGCUAGUGAAAUAUAAUAAUUCACCGCCUGUUAAUAUACUGAAUUCAGUUCAUUUUUACAAAUUUUAAGUCUCAUAUGCUCCUGCUAUGAAGUUGAAUCAAUCUAUAUGUUUCACGCUGCAAGGGAACAUCUAGUGUUGGUUGUUAGUUGAUGGAAAUAUUGCUGUAAUU